GUUCGAUUAUGGCUCAGAUUGAACGCUGGCGGAUGCUUUACACAUGCAAGUCGAACGGCAGCACGGACUUCGGUCUGGUGGCGAGUGGCGAACAGGUGAGUAAUGUAUCGGAACGUGCCUAGUAGCGGGGGAUAACUACGCGAAAGCGUAGCUAAUACCGCAUACGCCCUUCGAAAGCGGGGACCUUCAGGCCUCGCACUAUUAGAGCAGCCGAUAUCGGAUUAGCUAGUUGGUGGGGUAACGGCUCACCAAGGCGACGAUCCGUAGCUGGUUUGAGAGGACGACCAGCCGCACUGGGACUGAGACCUGGCCCAGACUCCUACGGGAGGCAGCAGUGAAAUUUUUUGAGCAAUGGGGGAAACCCUGAUCCAGCCAUCCCGCGUGUGCGAUGAAGGCCUUCGGGUUGUAAGCACUUUUGGCAGGAAAGAAACGGCACGGGAUAAUACGAUGCAACUGACGAACACCUGCAGAAUAAGCACCGGCUAACUACGUGCCAGCAGCAGCCGCGGUAAUACGUAGGAGUGCAAGCGUUAAUCAGAUUACUGAGGGCGUAAGCGUGCGCAGGCGGUUCGGAAGAAAGAUGUGAAAAUCCCAGGCUUAACUUUGGAACUGCAUUUUUAACUACCGAGCUAGAGUGUAUCAGAGGGAGGUGGAAUUCCGCGUGUAGCAGUGAAAUGCGUAGAUAUGCGGAGGAGCCUGAUGGCACGAGCAGCCCUCUGGGAUAACACUGACGCUCAUGCACGAAGCGUGGGAGCAAACGGGGCGGAUUGAAUGCCCUGGUAGUCCACGCCUAAACGUGUCAACUAGCUGUUGGGGCCUUCGGAGCUUGUAGUAGCGCAGCUAACGCGUAGAAGUUGACCGCCUGCACGGGGCUCUGAUCGCAAGAUUAAAACUCAAAGGAAUUGACGGGGACCCGCACAAGCGGUGGAUGAUGUGGAUUAAUUCGAUGCAACGCGAAAACCUUACCUACCUUGACAUGUCUGGAAUCCCGAGAUUGGGAGUGCUCGCAAGAGAACCGGAACACAGGUGCUGCAUGGCUGUCGUCAGCUCGUGUCGUGAGAUGUUGGGUUAAGUCACGCUAACGAGCGCAACCCUUGUCCUUGGUGCAACACGUAAUGGUGGGCACUCUAAGGAGACCGCCGGUGACAAACCGGAGGAAGGUGGGGAUGACGUCAAGUCAUCAUGGCCCGC
rnacentral:misc_RNA from 1 species